AAUGAAUUGCCUGAUUAAAGGGUUACCUUGAUAGGGUAAAUUAUGUAAAACUUAUUACAUUCAUUA
rnacentral:tRNA from 1 species